rnacentral:rRNA from 1 species
UGAGGAAUAUUGGUCAAUGGGCGCAAGCCUGAACCAGCCAUCCCGCGUGCAGGAAGACGGCCCUAUGGGUUGUAAACUGCUUUUCCAGGGGGAGAAUUUUUCUGUCGUGACAGGAAUUGACGGUACCCUGGGAAUAAGCAUCGGCUAACUCCGUGCCAGCAGCCGCGGUAAUACGUAGGGAGCAAGCGUUAUCCGGAUUUAUUGGGCGUAAAGAGUGCGCAGCCGGUUUAUUAAGUCUAAAAUUAAAGCCUGGAGCUUAACUCCAGUUCGUUUUAGAAACUGAUAGACUCGAGUGUGGUAGAGGCAAAUGGAAUUUCUAGUGUAGCGGUAAAAUGCGUAGAUAUUAGAAGGAACACCAGUGGCGAAGGCGAUUUGCUGGGCCAUUACUGACGGUCAUGCACGAAAGCGUGGGGAGCAAAUA